rnacentral:sRNA from 1 species
AGCCUAAACCAAUAAAAUGGCAUGGCUUGUAAGACCUCGACAGCAACAAGCUCUCUCCAGAGCGCUGUCGAGGCUAUCAUCUCGAAAGGGGUGGUAGGUGGUCGUAAGGCCAUC